UACGUAGGGGCCGAGCGUUGUCCGGAGUUAUUGGGCGUAAAGGGCGCGUAGGCGGCAUGUUAAGUCAGCUGUGAAAUCUCCGAGCUUAACUCGGAACUGUCAGCUGAUACUGAUGUGCUAGAGUGCAGAAGGGGCAAUCGGAAUUCUCGGUGUAGCGGUGAAAUGCGUAGAUAUCGAGAGGAACACCUGCGGCGAAGGCGGGUUGCUGGGCUGACACUGACGCUGAGGCGCGAAAGCUAGGGGAGCGAACGGG
rnacentral:rRNA from 1 species